rnacentral:rRNA from 1 species
AUGUGGUCUCCUCGGCUUAGGGGCCUGGCCGGGCACGGGCACAGGCCCGACUUCGACCCGUUCGCCACAGCCAUGGCGAACGCGUCCAAGGCGGUGGCGCCAUCCCCCAUCGGCUUCGGCGUCAAAGACGCAGCCCCCGUGGUCGCCACGCUCGGGGCCGGGGCUGCCCGUGGCCGGUGCACCCGGUGCUGGGGACGCCCGCGCCCGCCCACAGCUAGCGUCGCCGGCCGCUUGGACCAUGAUUUCCUGACCGCCGAGUCCUUGACACUGGCCAAGACGGAGCUCCUCGGCAUGGCCUUCGGCUACGGCGACACGAACGAGGACGUCGGGUUCCUAGCGUGGAGGCGGCGAGCGAGGCGGGGAGGCGACAGGUGGGGAGGCGGGCUCGCGCAGAGAAAAAGGUUGGAGAGAUAG